rnacentral:rRNA from 1 species
AACACAUGCGAGUCGAACGGCACCCCUCUCCGGAGGGAAGCGAGUGGCGAACGGCUGAGUAGCACGUGGAGAACCUGCCCCCUCCCCCGGGAUAGCCGCCCGAAAGGACGGGUAAUACCGGAUACCCCGGGGUGCCGCAUGACGCCCCGGCUAAAGCCCCGACGGGAGGGGAUGGCUCCGCGGCCCAUCAGGUAGACGGCGGGGUGACGGCCCACCGUGCCGACAACGGGUAGCCGGGUUGAGAGACCGACCGGCCAGAUUGGGACUGAGACACGGCCCAAACUCCUACGGGAGGCAGCAGUGGGGAAUCUUGCGCAAUGGGGGGAACCCUGACGCAGCGACGCCGCGUGCGGGACGGAGGCCUUCGGGUCGUAAACCGCUUUCACCAGGGAAUAGUCAAGACUGUACCUGCAGAAGAAGCCCCGGCUAACUACGUGCCAGCAGCCGCGGUAAUACGUAGGGGGCGAGCGUUAUCCGGAUUCGUUGGGCGUAGAGCGCGCGUAUGCGGCCCGGCAGGCCGGGGGUCGAAGCGGGGGGCUCAGCCCCCCGAAGCCCCCGGAACCUCCGCGGCUUGUGUCCGGUAGGGGAGGGUGGAACACCCGGUGUAGCGGUGGAAUGCGCAGAUAUCGGGUGGAACACCGGUGGCGAAGGCGUCCCUCUGGGCCGAGACCGACGCUGAGGCGCGAAAGCUGGAGGAGCGAACAGGAUUAGAUACCCUGGUAGUACACGCCGUAAACGAUGUCGACUUGGAGGUUGUGCCCUUGAGGCGUGGCUUCCGGAGAUAACGCGUUAAGUCGACCGCCUGGGGAGUACGACCGCAAGGUUAAAACUCAAAUGAAUUGACGGGGGCCCGCACAAGCGGUGGAGCAUGUGGUUUAAUUCGAUGCAACGCGAAGAACCUUACCUGGUCUUGACAUCCACGGAAGUUUUCAGAGAUGAGAAUGUGCCUUCGGGAACCGUGAGACAGGUGCUGCAUGGCUGUCGUCAGCUCGUGUUGUGAAAUGUUGGGUUAAGUCCCGCAACGAGCGCAACCCUUAUCUUUUGUUGCCAGCGGUCCGGCCGGGAACUCAAAGGAGACUGCCAGUGAUAAACUGGAGGAAGGUGGGGAUGACGUCAAGUCAUCAUGGCCCUUACGACCAGGGCUACACACGUGUUACAAUGGCGCAUACAAAGAGAAGCGACCUCGCGAGAGCAAGCGGACCUCAUAAAGUGCGUCGUAGUCCGGAUUGGAGUCUGCAACUCGACUCCAUGAAGUCGGAAUCGCUAGUAAUCGUGGAUCAGAAUGCCACGGUGAAUACGUUCCCGGGCCUUGUACACACCGCCCGUCACACCAUGGGAGUGGGUUGCAAAAGAAGUAGGUAGCUUAACCUUCGGGAGGGCGCUUACCACUUUGUGAUUCAUGACUGGGGUGAA